rnacentral:rRNA from 1 species
GGUUGCUUAUUUGUUAGUAGAGAAUGGUUAUAGAGUAUAUGAGCGAAAUUUAUGUUUUUCCUAGAGAUAAAGAGUACCGUGUGGGAAAAUUUGUUUAUUGGUUUAUAAAAUUAGGUUGUUUAGUACCUUUUGUAUUAGGGUUGAUUAAUGGGGUGCGGACUUAUGUUUGACUCCCGAUUAAUCUCGGGCUAUUUUUUCUUAUUUUAUUCUCGUUGCAUAGAGUUGAAUAGGGGAUUAUAGGUAUGAAAUAUUAUUCAAGUUGUUUUUUAUCUGGUUCUUUAAGAAAUUUAAUUUUUGAUGGUUAUAUUGGGACAAUAAGCAGGGAUUAGCUUGUUUAUGGUUUAUAUAGUUAGUUUCAUUCUUUUUGUGUGUUGAGUUGAUAGUGCUAAUUUUUAUGGAGUUAUUAUUGGGCAAGUUCUUUAGAUUAUUUUUUGUUUUUAUGUUGUUAUUAGGGUUGUUUUAUUAAUUUUAAAUAUUAGGAGAUAAUGAUUAUAUUAGUAAUAUUUUGUUUAGGCGAGUGGGCUAUUGGGCUAUAGUAUAGUGGUUGAUCGUAGUUUAUUUUAGUGUUAAAAUUAGGGUAAAUGAAUUAGGCAAGGUUUGAUUUCUGACUGUUUAGCAAAGACAUUGUUUUUUGUUGAGGUAGAAAAUAAGUUCUGUCCACUGCCAUUGGGGUGAAGGGCUGCAGUAUUUUGACUGUAUGAAGGUAGCAUAAUCAUUAGUUCUUUAAUUGGGAGCUGGUAUGAAGGUGAAACAGGGAUUUGCUGUAUUUGUUCUAUUUGUUGAAUUUUAUUUUCAUGUGAAAAAUCAUGAUUGGGUUAAUGGGACAAGAAGACCCUAAUAAAUUUUAUUUUUUAUUGUUGUUGAGUGCAUAGGAUUAAAAGAUUAGUGUGAUUUGGCUUGAGGGGUUUGACUGGGGCGGUUGUUUAAGGUAAACGCGAAUUAAUAUUUAACUUUGUUAGGCGGAGGUUUAGACCUGGGGUGUUUAGAUGAGUGUAAAAUUACUGUAGGGAUAACAGCGUGAUUUUAUUUGAGAGUUCUAAUUGACAAUAAA